AUCUAGAUAACUUAAAUUAAAGUUUAAUAUUGAAGCUAUUAAUAUGGAUUAAUUAUCCUCUAGAUA
rnacentral:tRNA from 1 species